AGGCACGUCUGUACCAUGACUAAUGCACCGGAUCCCAUCAGAACUCCACAGUUAAACGUGCUUGGGCGAGAGUAGUACUAGGAUGGGUGACCUCUUGGGAAGUCCUCUUGUUGUACCUC
rfam:Lupinus angustifolius cultivar Tanjil chromosome LG13, whole genome shotgun sequence.